rnacentral:rRNA from 1 species
GGGCCCGCACAAGCGGAGGAGCAUGUGGUUUAAUUCGAUGAUACGCGAGGAACCUUACCAGGGCUUAAAUGGGAGACGACAGAUCUGGAAACAGGUUUUUCUUCGGACGUCUUUCAAGGUGCUGCAUGGUUGUCGUCAGCUCGUGCCGUGAGGUGUCAGGUUAAGUCCUAUAACGAGCGCAACCCCUAUUGUUAGUUGCCAGCGGGUCAUGCCGGGAACUCUAACAAGACUGCCGGUGCAAACCGUGAGGAAGGUGGGGAUGACGUCAAAUCAUCACGGCCCUUACGUCCUGGGCUACACACGUGCUACAAUGGACGGUACAGAGAGCAGCCACCACGCAAGUGGGCGCGAAUCUUCAAAGCCGUUCUCAGUUCGGAUCGGAGUCUGCAACUCGACUCCGUGAAGCUGGAUUCGCUAGUAAUCGCAUAUCAGCCAUGAUGCGGUGAAUACGUUCCCGGGCCUU